CCUCGUGGCCAUAUCGAAGGGGAAACACCCGUUCCCAUCCCGAACACGGUCGUUAAGCCCUUCCGAGCCGAUGGUACUUUCCGGGAGACCGGAGGGGAGAGUAGGAUGCUGCGGGGC
rnacentral:rRNA from 1 species